rnacentral:tRNA from 1 species
GGCGGGAUGGCGGAACUGGCAGACGCAGCGGACUUAAAAUCCGCCGGAGCAAUCCUUGUGGGUUCGAGUCCCUCUCCCGCCACCA